rnacentral:rRNA from 1 species
UACGAAGGUCCCAAGCGUUAUCCGGAAUUAUUGGGCGUAAAGCGCAUGUAGGUGGUUUGUUAAGUCUGGUGUGAAAGCUCAAGGCCUAACCUUGAAAUUGCAUUGGAAACUGGCAAACUAGAAUACUGGAGGGGUAAGUGGAAUUCCAUGUGUAGCGGUGGAAUGCGUAGAUAUAUGGAGGAACACCAAUGGCGAAGGCAGCUUACUGGACAGUUAUUGACGCUGAGAUGCGAAAGCGUGGGGAGCAAACAGG